rnacentral:tmRNA from 1 species
GGGGAUGAAAGGAUUUCGACAGGGUUGUUGAGCCUUGGUCAGCGAGUAGCGGAGUUGCACCGCUUAAAAAGUAACACUUUAAAAAUAACUGACAAAACAGAAUCAGUUGCUCUUGCUGCUUAAUUAGCAGCUUGCGUUCUUCCGCGGAGUGCCACGGCCGCGGACAGAGCGUCGACUUAGUGGCGAACUUGAACGGGAGAGCGUCUCGGCUCCCGUCAGGAAUAAGAGAAUACCGUAGGCUGAAGGCUGUUUAUCGCCGUCAGCUGAGGGGAUACCGAAAAGAUAAACUACACUCGUAGAGCCCUUGGCAAGAUGAUUUUGGACGCGAGUUCAAUUCUCGCCAUCUCCACCA